rnacentral:rRNA from 1 species
AUGAAUGCCCUCCUGCAGAAGGAGUACACACGGGAAGAAGUAUAUGAAGCGUUGCUUAGCAUCGGUGACCUCAAAGCCCUUGGUCCUGACGGUAUGCCGGCGGUGUUUUACAAAAAGUGUUGGGAUAUUGUAGGAGACGACAUUGUUACUGAAGUCAUUGUUGUUCUCGACGGGGGACCGAUGCCGGAGGGCUGGAACGAGACAGUUGUGUUGGUGCCUAAGGUUAAGAACCCAGACCGAAUGAAAGAUCUAAGACCGAUUAGCCUUUGUAAUGUGGUGUACAAGCUGAUCUCAAAGGUAUUAGCAAAUCGACUAAAACAAAUCAUCCCUGAUAUUAUCUCUCCCAAUCAGAGCGCUUUUGUUCCGGGGCGGUUAAUCACUGACAAUAUUCUGCUAGCCUAUGAAUGCACACAUUUCAUGCAGAAUAAACGUGGAGAUAAGGAGGGGUACGCAACGAUCAAACUUGAUAUGAGUAAAGCCUAUGAUCGCAUCGAAUGGAUAUUUCUGGAAAAGAUGAUGCGGAAGCUGGCUUUUGGGGAGUAGUGGAUUAACAUAAUCAUGUUGUGUGUAACCUCAGUAUCCUAUAAAGUUAAGGUGAACAGAGAUUAUACGGAUGUGAUUGUGCCACAACGAGGGUUGAGACAAGGUGAUCCCCUAUCUCCAUACCUUUUCCUCAUAUGUGUAGAAGGGUUUUCAUCUCUUUUGAAUGCUGCUGAGGCGGAUGGGACACUAAAGGGCCUGAAGAUCUGCAAUGAUGCCCCGAGUUUCAACCACCUAUUGUUUGCGGAUGACUCACUAGUACUCAUGAAAGCUUCGCGUGAGAGUGCUACGUCACUGCAAAAUGUACUACAUUUGUAUGAGGUUUGUUCGGGACAAGUGGUGAAUUAUGAUAAAUCAUCUGCCAUGUUCAGCAAGAAUACAAGAAAUGUGAGGAAAUGGGAAGUGCUACAUACUCUAAAUAUUAGAGCUAAAGCAAAGACAGAAAGGUACAUGGGGCUCCCUGUGUAUGUCGGCAAAGCCAGGAAGAAAGUUUUUGAGUACUUAAAAGAAAGAAUAUGGCUAUGGAUCCAGGGGUGGCAAGAGAGGCUGUUGUCAAAGAUGGGGAAAGAUGUGCUAAUUAAAGCGUGUGCGCAAGCCAUCCCUACCUUCGCAAUGUCACGCUUUGAUCUAACCAAGACCUUAUGUGAGGAGAUUGGCAUGAUGAUCUGUCGUUUUUGGUGGGCAAAACAGGAGAAGAAUAACACCAUGCAC